GACGAACGCUGGCGGCGUGCUUAACACAUGCAAGUCGAACGGAAAGGCCCCUUUGGGGGUACUCGAGUGGCGAACGGGUGCGUAACACGUGAGUAACCUGCCCUUGACUUCGGGAUAACUUCAGGAAACUGGGGCUAAUACCGGAUAGGAAUCCUUGCUGCAUGGUGGGGGUUGGAAAGCUUCGGCGGUUUUGGAUGGACUCGCGGCUUAUCAGCUUGUUGGUGGGGUAGUGGCUUACCAAGGCUUUGACGGGUAGCCGGCCUGGGAGGGCGACCGGCCACAUUGGGACUGAGAUACGGCCCAGACUCCUACGGGAGGCAGCAGUGGGGAAUAUUGCACAAUGGGCGGAAGCCUGAUGCAGCAACGCCGCGUGCGGGAUGACGGCCUUCGGGUUGUAAACCGCUUUCAGCAGGGGCGAAGCUUUUGUGACGGUACCUGCAGAAGAAGCACCGGCUAACUACGUG
rnacentral:rRNA from 1 species